rnacentral:rRNA from 1 species
GACGAACGCUGGCGGCGUGCUUAACACAUGCAAGUCGAACGGAAAGGCCCCUUUGGGGGUCCUCGAGUGGCGAACGGGUGAGUAACUCGUGAGUAACCUGCCCUUGACUUCGGGAUAACUUCAGGAAACUGGGGCUAAUACCGGAUAGGAAUCCUUGCUGCAUGGUGGGGGUUGGUAAGCUUCGGCGGUUUUGGAUGGACUCGCGGCUUAUCCGCUUGUUGGUGGGGUAGUGGCUUACCAAGGCUUUGACGGGUAGCCGGCCUGAGAGGGCGACCGGCCACAUUGGGACUGAGAUACGGCCCAGACGCCGACGGGAGGCAGCAGUGAGGAAGAUUGCACAAUGGGCGGAAGCCUGAUGCAGCAACGCCGCGUGCGGGAUGACGGCCUUCGGGUUGUAAGCCGCUUUCAGCAGGGGCGAAGCUUGUGGUGACGGUACCUGCAGAAGAAGCACCGGCUAACUACGUG